UCAUCUUCGGGGGUAGAGCACUGUUUCGGCUAGGGGGUCAUCCCGACUUACCAACCCGAUGCAAACUACGAAUACCGAAGAAUGUUAUCACGGGAGACACACGGCGGGUGCUAACGUCCGUCGUGAAGAGGGAAACAACCCAGACCGCCAGAUAAGGUCCCAAAGUCAUGGUUAAGUGGGAAACGAUGUGGGAAGGCACAGACAGCCAGGAUGUUGGCUUAGAAGCAGCCAUCAUUUAAAGAAAGCGUAAUAGCUCACUGGUCGAGUCGGCCUGCGCGGAAGAUGUAACGGGGCUAAACCAUGCACCGAAGCUGCGGCAGCGACACUAUGUGUUGUUGGGUAGGGGAGCGUUCUGUAAGCCUGCGAAGGUGUGCUGUGAGGCAUGCUGGAGGUAUCAGAAGUGCGAAUGCUGACAUAAGUAACGAUAAAGCGGGUGAAAAGCCCGCUCGCCGGAAGACCAAGGGUUCCUGUCCAACGUUAAUCGGGGCAGGGUGAGUCGACCCCUAAGGCGAGGCCGAAAGGCGUAGUCGAUGGGAAACAGGUUAAUAUUCCUGUACUUGGUGUUACUGCGAAGGGGGGACGGAGAAGGCUAUGUUAGCCGGGCGACGGUUGUCCCGGUUUAAGCAUGUAGGCUGGUUGUCCAGGCAAAUCCGGAUAAUCAAGGCUGAGGUGUGAUGACGAGGCACUACGGUGCUGAAGUAACAAAUGCCCUGCUUCCAGGAAAAGCCUCUAAGCAUCAGGUAACAUUAAAUCGUACCCCAAACCGACACAGGUGGUCAGGUAGAGAAUACCAAGGCGCUUGAGAGAACUCGGGUGAAGGAACUAGGCAAAAUGGUGCCGUAACUUCGGGAGAAGGCACGCUGGUGUGUAGGUGAAGUCCCUGCGGAUGGAGCUGAGACCAGUCGAAGAUACCAGCUGGCUGCAACUGUUUAUUAAAAACACAGCACUGUGCAAACACGAAAGUGGACGUAUACGGUGUGACGCCUGCCCGGUGCCGGAAGGUUAAUUGAUGGGGUUAUCCGUAAGGAGAAGCUCUUGAUCGAAGCCCCGGUAAACGGCGGCCGUAACUAUAACGGUCCUAAGGUAGCGAAAUUCCUUGUCGGGUAAGUUCCGACCUGCACGAAUGGCGUAAUGAUGGCCAGGCUGUCUCCACCCGAGACUCAGUGAAAUUGAACUCGCUGUGAAGAUGCAGUGUACCCGCGGCAAGACGGAAAGACCCCGUGAACCUUUACUAUAGCUUGACACUGAACAUUGAGCCUUGAUGUGUAGGAUAGGUGGGAGGCUUUGAAGCGUGGACGCCAGUCUGCGUGGAGCCAACCUUGAAAUACCACCCUUUAAUGUUUGAUGUUCUAACGUUGGCCCCUUACCGGGGUUGCGGACAGUGUCUGGUGGGUAGUUUGACUGGGGCGGUCUCCUCCCAAAGCGUAACGGAGGAGCACGAAGGUUAGCUAAUCCUGGUCGGACAUCAGGAGGUUAGUGCAAUGGCAUAAGCUAGCUUGACUGCGAGCGUGACGGCGCGAGCAGGUGCGAAAGCAGGUCAUAGUGAUCCGGUGGUUCUGAAUGGAAGGGCCAUCGCUCAACGGAUAAAAGGUACUCCGGGGAUAACAGGCUGAUACCGCCCAAGAGUUCAUAUCGACGGCGGUGUUUGGCACCUCGAUGUCGGCUCAUCACAUCCUGGGGCUGAAGUAGGUCCCAAGGGUAUGGCUGUUCGCCAUUUAAAGUGGUACGCGAGCUGGGUUUAGAACGUCGUGAGACAGUUCGGUCCCUAUCUGCCGUGGGCGCUGGAGAAUUGAGGGGGGCUGCUCCUAGUACGAGAGGACCGGAGUGGACGCAUCACUGGUGUUCGGGUUGUCAUGCCAAUGGCACUGCCCGGUAGCUAAAUGCGGAAGAGAUAAGUGCUGAAAGCAUCUAAGCACGAAACUUGCCCCGAGAUGAGUUCUCCCUGAGACUUUAAGUCUCCUGAAGGAACGUUAAAGACGAUGACGUUGAUAGGCCGGGUGUGUAAGCGCAGCGAUGCGUUGAGCUAACCGGUACUAAUGAACCGUGAGGCUUAACCUU
rnacentral:rRNA from 1 species